AUUGAACGCUGGCGGCAUGCUUUACACAUGCAAGUCGAACGGUAACAGGCCUUCGGGUGCUGACGAGUGGCGAACGGGUGAGUAAUGCAUCGGAACGUGCCCAGAGGUGGGGGAUAACGCAGCGAAAGCUGAGCUAAUACCGCAUGUGAUCUGAGGAUGAAAGCGGGGGACCAGGCAGCAAUGUUUGGCCUCGCGCCUUUGGAGCGGCCGAUGUCAGAUUAGGUAGUUGGUGGGGUAAAGGCCUACCAAGCCGACGAUCUGUAGCUGGUCUGAGAGGACGACCAGCCACACUGGGACUGAGACACGGCCCAGACUCCUACGGGAGGCAGCAGUGGGGAAUUUUGGACAAUGGGCGCAAGCCUGAUCCAGCAAUGCCGCGUGCGGGAAGAAGGCCUUCGGGUUGUAAACCGCUUUUGUACGGAACGAAAAGGCUCUGGCUAAUACCUGGGGCUGAUGACGGUACCGUAAGAAUAAGCACCGGCUAACUACGUG
rnacentral:rRNA from 1 species